UACGUAGGGGGCAAGCGUUGUCCGGAAUCAUUGGGCGUAAAGAGCGUGUAGGCGGCCAGAAAAGUCCGCUGUGAAAACUCGAGGCUCAACUUCGAGCUGUCGGUGGAAACUUUCUGGCUAGAGUCCGGAAGAGGAGAUUGGAAUUCCCGGUGUAGCGGUGAAAUGUGUAGAGAUCGGGAGGAACACCGGUGGCGAAGGCGGGUCUCUGGGCAUCUCCUGACGCUGAGGCGCGAAAGCGUGGGGAGCAAACGGG
rnacentral:rRNA from 1 species